rnacentral:misc_RNA from 1 species
AGAAAAUUAAAAAAUUUCACAAAGAGAACCUUCCUUCUCACACAACCUUGAGCCUAGCUAGCUCUUAAGUAUGAAGUCUUGAACUUUCAUAAUUUCAGCAUUAUUUUUUCUUAUAUACAUCAAUAUUCAAAUUCCACCACCGUAAAUAUUGAAGAAUGAGACACAAGAUAAGGGUACAAGGCAUAACCCUCUAUUUAAAAGAUCUCUCUUCGGUUGUCCCUUCCCAUCUUCCUCGCUUGAAUUCACUUGCAUUGCUCUGGUUGGCUUGCUGUUUGAUGACCUCAUGUACGGCACACUCAAUGUCUGCACUUGGUCAUGAAGAAAUUGGAUGUACCCAAUAGCUUCUGUCAAUACAGAUGCAGUAUCUGUCUUGCCAUAAGGUGCCACCAACCUUUGAAGAGUUGCAAUCCUUUCUCUUAGUUUCUCCUUUCUAACCUUAAAUUGUGGGCAUGAGGAUGACGGUGGCUGAUGCUCCUUUUUAGCUUUAGCUUGGACAAAACUGCUAGAUCUCUUUUUUCUCUGAAUUGCAUCUUCAAAGGCUGAGGCUUUGUUUGAGCUACUUGCAGGACUACUUUCUUUAAAGAGUUCUCCCAUGAAAUGACCAAAAGUAGUAUUUUGUGAAGCUUGUUGGCUGGAACUGGCGCUGGCAGCAUCAUAUUUAGGGAUUAAAAGUUCCACAGCUUGCAAGUUUAAGUCCAAAUCCGAGUUUGAGAUAUUUAUACUUGGUAGAAUAUGGCUAAAGUUAUAUCUGCUAGGAGUAGAUGAUGAUGAUCUUUCCAAAGUACUUGUGCAGUUUUGCGGAUUAUUAUUAGAGUGUAGCUGAUCUACUCCAGGUGAAAGAUGUAGUUGUGUGAUAUGGUGAGCAGAACAGAAGUUGCUGAGCCAGUGAUUUUCACCAAGAUGAUCGCGAUGAUGAGAAUAUUGCUGCAGCAACUCAUUGGCAGAUUGUUGGCUGAAACAGCGGGGUGAAGCAGCUUCACAGAAACUCAUCAAGCCCGCAGGAUACAUGGAACCUUUAUUUGGUUGCCAAGACUCCAAAAAGAUGUCUGGGUUCAUGUCUUUGGUGCUUGAAACCUUGUACUCUGGUUGAAAUAAUAAAGAAGAAUAAGUUCCUCCAUACUGUUCUCGGAGCUGGUGCUGGGGAUGGAGAUUCGCAGGCUCCAUAAUGUAAAAUUUUUUUUCAAGACUUUGACAAUCCCAAAGAUGGGUG